GCUGAGGUCUAUCCUGAUAGGACUCUGCUGUGGGCCCUUGUCAUUGGAAAGGCCUCAGAGCAAUUGUGUGGUUUGCUUUACUCACAGAACUACAGAACAGCU
rnacentral:snoRNA from 1 species